GAAAAACAAGAAUUAAUCCUAAUAUUUCUAUCGAGAUUAACAAUCAACGUCAUGAUUAAAAAACUAUAAUUAAAAUACAUUAAUUAAGAAUUAAUCUAAUAAUUGAGAUUAAUGAACAUGGGUUAUGGGUUAAUGGUUUGAAAGGGGUGUGUGAAUUAAUCUUAGGCCAAAAGGAAGUGAAUAAGCCGAAGGCCCAGGUUCCAUAUCUUCAACACCAACCCAGUUCCAAGCAAAUCCAAAAUAGCUUCAGGUCAAACGUGAAAACAAGCUUAGCACGGCGCACGAAUUUGCUUCCUCGUCGUCUUCAAUAAUGUCACAAACUGGACUCAAAAUGUGAACCAGACUUUGCUGAAGAAAAUCAUUGUAAAUUAUUGAGUGGUGAUGAAAUUCGGUUGGAGGAGGUUUGUUAUUGGUUAGAGAGGUGAGUCAUUUAUACUGUUAGAAGAGUUUGCUUGGCUUUGGUUAUGAGUUAAGUUGAGAAGUUGUGAGGUCAUCUCCAUUCGGUUCAGAAAUCUUGGCAAGUUAUUGAAGGGAAGCGUGCUAGACGUUUUGUGGUCAAUAGCUUGGAGUUGGAUUGGCCAUGAAGGAAUGGAUUUGAGCUAGGGACUUGUUGCAAGCUGGACCAUUGGCAGUUUGGAAUUGGAUUCUGGAUUAUUGUAAUUUUUUAUUGAAAACCCUGUAUAUGGAUGUAAUUGGAUUGGUGACUGUAUGUUGUAAUUUUGGAUAUUUUGUAAUGAUUUAUGUUAUGCAUUUGAAAUUAUUGUAAUGUUUAUGGUUGUAAUGAAAUGUGAUUUAGAAAUUGAAAUUGUAAUAGGAUUGAUGUAUCAUAAUUGAAAAUGAAAGGUAUUGAAAUUGUUAUUGGA